GGCGAAGUAGCUCAGUUGGCAAGAGCACGCGGUUCAUACCCGCGGUGUCGGCGGUUCAAGUCCGUCCUUCGCUA
rnacentral:tRNA from 1 species